AUCACAUUCAGUAUGAAAGGGGCUCAGACGACUAUGUCUUGUCUCUGGGCCAGAAAACCAUGUGGUCAAAUUCCACAGCAAGACUUGAUUAUUUACAAAUCCUUAACUAGUUGAGUAUUGCAUAGUUAGUGGUCCCAUCUCUGGAGUCUCUUCUGCCCAUUUCUGAUAUAAUUUGGUAAUAGAACACAAGUAAAAGGAUUAUUGUAUUUGUAAUGAAGAUCUCAGAUAAAACAGUUCUCAAAUUUCAUUAAGAACCUCUAUGUUAUUAUAGCGUAUUACAUUACCACCUGCCAAAGCUCAGUGGGUGGUCUCUAAAGACCUAUGCAGUCAGGAAUCCCAGAUUCCUACAAUCCUGUCAUGACUGUCUAUAUCCACUGUUUCCAAUUUCCCUUCUUUUGCAGACAGCUGCUUUGAAAAAUAAUUCCCAUGUUAGCGGUCACAUUAAGAUUUUGGGUCCCAGCCUCUCUGCUGCAGUUUUGAAUCCUGAUCUAACCUGCCUAUCAGGUCCACUAACAGAACACGACCACAGUCCACAGCACCUGUCUCUUGAGAUUGACUUAACACCAGCUAAUGAAAAUGAAUUUGUAAUUUUCAUACUUAAUUCUGAUCAAUAAGGCUGGAAUCAAAGAAGAGGUUACUCAUCUGGUUCAGUAACUGGAGUUCUUCAAGAUGUAUGUCCCUAUGAGUGCUCCCCGCACAUACACUCCAGACAUCCUCAUGCUCUGUACCAAGGAUAUAUACAGCUGCAUGGGCAAAUUGCACGAAGUUCCUUCUCUACCCCAAAGUCCCAUGAGAUGAAAUUCUGAAGCAGAAGGGAAGUAGGGUGAGUAGGGGAGCACCCAUAGGGACACAUCUUGAAGAACUCCAUACCCCGCACAAGGUAACUUCUCUUUCUUCUUCAAGUAGUGUUCCUAUGAGUCCUCCACUUCAGGUGAUUUCCAGAAAAAGGAGGGGGAUUUGUUAAGACAGAACUGCACUGCCAACCGCAGCAUCUAUUCCAGAAGCGUGAACCAAGGCCCAAUGCUUGGAGAAGUCUUCAAAGGGAGAGAGGUGUGUGGGACGAUACAGCUGAAGACUCACAAGGUGGGAAUGUUCUGGACCCUCAGCUAAACCGUCAAAAUCGACAGCAGAAUGAAAAGGACAGCUGGGUCAUGGUAGCAAUUAUGGUGCAUAUAUCCUGAGGGACCUGAUAGUGGUCCUGGAAUCUCUCAAAGUAUGUAGACAUUCAUUGGUGGACUCAGAGGAGAGUUCAAGUCCAUCAAAAGGAAGGUCUUUGAUGGUGAUUUGGACCUCCCCCAGGAAACCGAGACAGCUAUAUAGCCAGGAUGACUGGUAGAGAUGGAGGGGGCUGUAGUCUUGGCUGCAACUCGGGAGGGAGUACAAAAAUACUGGUCAAGCUGCAGUACUUGAAAAUGCUAUCCAGCUGGACUUUAUUCAUGUUGUGAGAGAAACACUAAGAGCACAGACAAAUUGGACUUUGAAGCUUAAAAGAUGUUACUAUUCUGAAAACCUGGAUUUAUAACACCCAGUUUAAGUGUGAGACAUAAUUCCCUCCCACUUAAACCCUUACAUAAAGAGCUGAAUGAGCUUUAAUUAUGGCACAAGUAAAUUUAAUGCAUUCACUGAAAAACCAAAAGGAAUAGACAACUAAUUUUUUUUAUACUAAAGCAGAAAAAAACAAGAGGAAAGGAUUCCUCCAGUGUUCAUUGAUCUCGACUGUCCAAAAUUUAAUAGGAACCUGAUCAGGCUAUUAGGUUCCACAGCAUCCUACUCAGACAUUUAAAAGCAGGCCAUUACAGAAGAAGCUAGUAGGUUACAGACUAGAGGAGCAAGUCCUCUAAUAAUUUAUUUUAUAACAUUUUUACUAAUCUGAUGUUUCACAAAAACUGGUUUUGUUAAUUUAUUUGAAGCACUGUAGGUACUGUCAGAUUUAUUUUCUCACUUCUAAUGCCUUUAUUCUGAGCGUGUUAAGGGGUGCUCUCUGUAUUAUGUGUAGCAAGUUAAAGGAAACACCCCCAUUUGAGAAUGUCUCUGUUAUUAAAGAUUUUACUACUGUCUUUCCUUAAAGCUCUGUUUUUCCAUGCCUAAUUUGUGGAAUUUCAAAUACUUUGUCUGUACUCAGAGGAAUACCUGGAACAGCAAAGUGACAACUGAGUUACUUGUACAAAUUAAAGGACAGAAUUUGGAUAUCAAAAAUGAAGGACUCAACCAUCAAAAAGGUUCUGGAAGAUCCAUCAUCUUUGUCUAUAAGAUAUUUUAACUCUGCUUUUAUGAAUUUUUUGUACCUUGGCUACUCAUCUCACGCUAAGUGCCUCCUAGUGCUGGCGUGCUGUUCCUUUCUCACACUCCACCCCUGCUCUCUUGACAGUACUUCCCACAGCAAAAAUGAGGUGGGACAGUUAUUGAGUUUGUCCAUACAAAGCAGCCAGAGUACAGCAGUGGGACCCUACGACCCACUCAGUGCCAACUUGCAAAGAGUUCACAUCUAUCAGGCUUGGACAAACUGACAACAGUUAGCACACUGUUUUCAUAGUAUUUAUCCAAAAAGGGUUGCGUGAGGUGUCUAAUAAAAGAUUAAGCAUUGUAAGCCAACACAAUGGAAGGCUGUUUUGCGUAUGGAGUCAACACAAGGAUGUGAAAACAACUUGGACCCAGAACACCAGGAAAGGAAUCAUGGGGCUAUCCUGACUCUGGGGAUAAAAUAAUGAGUUUUGGGAAAUAAGGAGAUGCAAAAGGACAUUUUGUUAUCCAUCACUGAGGGAGCAAAAAGGACAGUGCUUUUUUAAUUCAUGAAAGGUGGAUCCCAGCCACAUUGGUGACACAUUAGUAAUGCUGGGAGAUUGCUUAGGUGAGAAACUACUUUAGGCAAGGAUUUUAGCCUGUUAAAGUUAAGUUUAGACUUAAGAAGUGUGUUAUACUUUUUUGUUUGACGUGUAACCAUUUCUGUCCAUUAUCCUUACUCAAUAUCCCUUAAAUCUUUAUCUUUGAUAAUAAACUUAUGAUUGUUUUCACUAUAACUAUAU